GAGUAACACGUGACUAACCUACCCUGAAGUGGGGAAUAACCUCGGGAAACCGGGGCUAAUACCGCAUAACAUCGCGAGGGGAAGAUCCUUGUGAUCAAAGGAGCAAUUCGCUUUAGGAGGGGGUCGCGGCUGAUUAGCUAGUUGGUGAGGUAACGGCUCACCAAGGCAAAGAUCAGUAUCCGGCCUGAGAGGGCGCACGGACACACUGGAACUGAAACACGGUCCAGACUCCUACGGGAGGCAGCAGUGGGGAAUUUUGCGCAAUGGGGGAAACCCUGACGCAGCAACGCCGCGUGGAGGAUGAAGUCCCUUGGGAUGUAAACUCCUUUCGAUCGGGACGAUAAUGACGGUACCGGAAGAAGAAGCACCGGCUAACUCUGUGCCAGCAGCCGCGGUAAUACAGAGGGUGCAAGCGUUGUUCGGAAUUAUUGGGCGUAAAGGGCGCGUAGGCGGUGCGGUAAGUCCGCAGUGAAAUCUCUGGGCUCAACUCAGAGUCUGCUGUGGAAACUGCCGUGCUAGAGUGUGGGAGAGGUGAGUGGAAUUCCCGGUGUAGCGGUGAAAUGC
rnacentral:rRNA from 1 species